UUGCAUGGGAACAGAAGACUCAUCCUUUUCACCUCAAAGAAGUAAAGAAAUGAGCAGAGAGAGAGCUGGAACUAGGGAGCCUUGGGUCAGAGAUGACUUAGGCAGACCAAAGGCAAAAUAGAAAGAGGGAUGCCUCAGGGGAUGCCAGCGUGGAUAGAUAGUGACCCAGACUAGGCGAACCCCACAAGUGUGUGCACGGUAUAAAUUCCAUCUU
rnacentral:lncRNA from 10 species